rnacentral:lncRNA from 1 species
UCAGAGAGAUAUAACAUAGCAAUAGAUAUGUAUUACAUAGCCGAGAGAUCUAACAUACCAAUAACAUAGUCAAGGAGAUAUAACAUAGCAACAUCAUUCCCACAGUGUACACAGCCAUAUACACUCUGUACAUCAUUCUACCGCCAAACAUAAUACGUAUGUCAUAACAUAGCAGACACAGUUUAGUACUUAGACUAACUUAUCGGGCAGUAUUGCCAAUAUUUGAAGCCUAAUCCCUAAACCACCCUUAGCCCCAAAAAAGUAGAACACCACUAUCAUUGUUUGCCCUAAUCAAACCAGUCGACCCAGGAUUCCUAAACCCCAAAAUAAUACAUCAUUCCACCCCCAACUUCCUUACUGCGUGUGUCCUCCCCUGAAGACACGCAGCUUCAACCUUGUCACAUGCGACGUUACUAGGGUACGAAUGACGGGUCCUGCAGACCCCGUCGCCACACUUGCUGUCGGAGACGGGACUGCUGCAUUGGAACUGGAUGUGACAUCUCCCCUCUCCGUCUAUUUAGA